rnacentral:rRNA from 1 species
UACACAUGCAGUCGAACGGCAGCACGGGGGCAACCCUGGUGGCGAGUGGCGAACGGGUGAGUAAUAUAUCGGAACGUGCCCUGGAGUGGGGGAUAACUAGUCGAAAGACUAGCUAAUACCGCAUACGAUCUAUGGAUGAAAGUGGGGGAUCGCAAGACCUCAUGCUCGUGGAGCGGCCGAUAUCUGAUUAGCUAGUUGGUAGGGUAAAAGCCUACCAAGGCAUCGAUCAGUAGCUGGUCUGAGAGGACGACCAGCCACACUGGGACUGAGACACGGCCCAGACUCCUACGGGAGGCAGCAGUGGGGAAUUUUGGACAAUGGGGGCAACCCUGAUCCAGCAAUGCCGCGUGAGUGAAGAAGGCCUUCGGGUUGUAAAGCUCUUUUGUCAGGGAAGAAACGGUCCGGGCUAAUAUCCUGGGCUAAUGACGGUACCUGAAGAAUAAGCACCGGCUAACUACGUGCCAGCAGCCGCGGUAAUACGUAGGGUGCAAGCGUUAAUCGGAAUUACUGGGCGUAAAGCGUGCGCAGGCGGUUGUGCAAGACAGAUGUGAAAUCCCCGGGCUUAACCUGGGAAUUGCAUUUGUGACUGCACGGCUAGAGUGUGUCAGAGGGGGGUAGAAUUCCACGUGUAGCAGUGAAAUGCGUAGAGAUGUGGAGGAAUACCGAUGGCGAAGGCAGCCCCCUGGGAUAACACUGACGCUCAUGCACGAAAGCGUGGGGAGCAAACAGGAUUAGAUACCC